AGACAGCAGCCGCCGCGGGAAUACGUAGGGUACGAGCGUUAAUCGGAAUUACUGGGCGUAAAGCGUGCGCAGGCGGUUAUAUAAGACAGAUGUGAAAUCCCCGGGCUCAACCUGGGACCUGCAUUUGUGACUGUAUAGCUAGAGUACGGUAGAGGGGGAUGGAAUUCCGCGUGUAGCAGUGAAAUGCGUAGAUAUGCGGAGGAACACCGAUGGCGAAGGCAAUCCCCUGGACCUGUACUGACGCUCGUGCACGAAAGCGUGGGGAGCAAACAGGAUUAGAUACCCGCGUAGUCCCUGUCUCUUAUAC
rnacentral:rRNA from 1 species